AAAAUAACAAUGAUUUCCCUAGUAACGGCGAGUGAACAGGAAAGAGCUCAAAGUUGGAACCUGUUUGGUUUAGCCAAACCGGAUUGUAAACUGUAGAAGUGUUUUCCUGGCACGCCUGACGAAAAAGUCCAUUGGAACAUGGUGACAUAGAGGGUGAGAGCCCCGUAUUUUGUCAGAGCUGUUGUCUCUUGUGAUACACUUUCAAAGAGUCAGGUUGUUUGGGAAUGCAGCCUAAAUUGGGUGGUAAAUCUCACCUAAAGCUAAAUAUUGGCAAAAGACCGAUAGCGAACAAGUACCGUGAGGGAAAGAUGAAAAGAACUUUGAAAAGAGAGUUAAACAGUAUGUGAAAUUGUUAAAAGGGAACCGUUUGGAGCCAGACUGGCUUGAUUGUAAUCAAUCUAGAUUUCGAUCUGGAUGCACUUGCAGUCUAUGCCUGCCAACGACAAUUCAUUCUGGAGGAAAAAACUAAGUGGAAUGUGGCCCCUCGGGGUGUUAUAGACUCUUAGAAAAUACUCUGGUUUGGAUUGAGGAACGCAGUGAAUGCUAUUUGGCGAAGAUGCUGGGUGCUUUUAUUUUUGUUGUCUAGAAUUUCUGCUUCGGGUGGUGCUAGAUACCACGAGUAAAACUCGCCUAGUAUACUUUUUAUUCACUUAGGUUGUUGGCUUAAUGACUCUAAAUGA
rnacentral:rRNA from 1 species